UAAAUUUUCUAUUGGGCAUGCUUCUCAGAUCCAAGGCAUGGAGAACUCCAAGGUGUUUGCUGACAAGCUGUUCGGGACAUGUCGAGGCAGAGGAACAUUGAGCCGGAUGAAGGCAUUAACAAGGAUCGGCUCAGAGAGGUGGAACAUGAACAUUGAUGGGAUGCUCACAGAAGAUGAGGUCAAGAAGGUGGCUACGCAAAUGAUCACAGAGAAGACUACUGCUGGGCCUUUUGAUCGACCAUGCGAUUCAAAAAGCUCUUUAGUGCAGUUUGCAACAACAAAAAUCAGAGGAUCGGUCGUUUGUAAGGGUGGAUAUCUCAGAGGUGGCUGCCACCCAG